GAGGUGGAUUCUGGGCAGUUCUGGUGGGUUCUGGGCAGUUCUGGUGGGUUCUGGUGGAUUUUGAUGGGUUUUGGUGGAUUUUGAUGGGUUUUGGUGGAUUUUGAUGGGUUCUGGUUGGUUUUGAUGGGUUCUGGUGGGUUUUGGUGGAUUUCGAUGGGUUUUGGUGGAUUUCGAUGGGUUUUGGUGGAUUUCGAUGGGUUUUGGUAGAUUUUGAUGGGUUCUGGUAAAUUCUGGUGGGUUUUGAUGGGCUUUGGUGGAUUUUGGUGGGUUUGGAUGGGUUUUGGUGGAUUUUGAUGGGUUCUGGGGAGUUCUGGGUUCUGGUGGAUUUUGAUGGGUUCUGGUGGGUUCUGGGGAGUUCUGGUGAGUUUUGGUGGAUUUUGAUGGGUUUUGGUGGAUUUUGAUGGGUUCUGGUAAAUUCUGGUGGGUUCUGGUGGAUUUUGAUGGGUUCUGGUAAAUUCUGGUGGGUUCUGGUGGAUUUUGAUGGGUUCUGGUGGAUUCUGGGGGGUUCUGGUGGAUUUUGAUGGGUUCUGGUGGAUUUUGAUGGGUUCUGGUGGGUUCUGGUGGCUGAACUGAGCUGCCCCAGCCCGUGCUGAGCAGAGCCGUGCCCGUGGUGGAGCUUUCUGCUGAGCUUGCAGAGCUGCUCCCCCAUCCCACAUUUCCUUUUCCUCUUCCUCUGCAGAGGGGUGAGGAGGAUUUGCCCGCCCUGCAGAGGAAGAGGCCUCUGGAUAAGGAUUUAUCUUCUGGCUUCCCCUCGCCCACGCCGCUGCUGCGGGGACUUUGCUGAGUUAACUGGAAAGGUCACCUUUCCCCAUUUGUGAGUUGGAUUUCCUGAGGACUCCUGCUUGGUUUGGGAGCUCGGGACGGGGAAUGGUGAAGAGCCAGCGUGGGAUGUGGUGGUGGCAGUUCUGGUUUUGUUGAUUGUGCCCUGUCACUGUUGAAGCUGAGGAGCUGGAAGUUCCCCUUGGUGCCAGGGAGGUUCAGUGGCAGGGUCUGGUGAUCCAUGGGGAACUGGGAGGAGGUAAAGGAGGAAUGUGGGGAUUCCCUGGGGGGACACGGCCCAUCCUGGGGCUGUGCAGGGACUGAGUUGCGGGACCC
rnacentral:lncRNA from 1 species